UUUCAAGAUUUAAGGAACCUACUAGUAAAGCAUCAGGGUAUGGACGAAGAGGUUGUGGAGCCAGGCACUACAGAGGAGGGAGGGGCCGAUGCUUAGAGUUCCCCUGUCAGUUCGACUUUUGAUGAUAAUGGUUUAUGUUUUUUUUUUAUGUUUUACGAUGGGCCCGUUGGGAUGUUUUGUUGGAUUAACUUUAAGACAAUAUGUCUUUUGGGUAUGAUGUAAAUACAAUAGUGGGGUAAUGGUAAUGGUGUAACUUCUAUGGUGGGGUGAUAGUAACCCCAGAUACGAUGGUUUAACACCUUUUUGUAUGUGUUGCAGGGACUGAGUCCCCUCUUAUUUAGAACUAGUUAUGUUUGAUGAA